UACGGAGGGAGCUAGCGUUGUUCGGAAUUACUGGGCGUAAAGCGCACGUAGGCGGCUUUGUAAGUUAGAGGUGAAAGCCCGGGGCUCAACUCCGGAACUGCCUUUAAGACUGCAUCGCUUGAAUCCAGGAGAGGUGAGUGGAAUUCCGAGUGUAGAGGUGAAAUUCGUAGAUAUUCGGAAGAGCACCAGUGGCGAAGGCGGCUCACUGGACUGGUAUUGACGCUGAGGUGCGAAAGCGUGGGGAGCAAACAGG
rnacentral:rRNA from 1 species